CAUUAUGGUAGGGCGAAAGGGGGACGCUUUAUGCGUGCCAGCUGCUAGAUGAUUGGUCUGUCAACCCUCUUUCGUUUUACCACCAUC
rnacentral:antisense_RNA from 1 species